CUGGGGGGGUACCCUGGAGGAAGGGGCCAGGUGCUGAGGGAGAGAGCCCUGAGUCUGCUGCCCCAGAGAGGGCAUAGAGCUGGUCAGAAUGGAGCAGCUGCCAGAGGCCCAUGAGAGGGGUGAAGCUAAAACCUGAAAAUUCUGAUAUGUACGUGGUGCCUUUCACCAGCUCUUCACUGACUUUCCAGACAAGGUCACCAUCAGCCUGGUUUCAGCUCUGACGUGGGAUUGGCUAAUUAACUUCCUGAUCCACAAUGCCAUGGAAAGAAGGGGGGACAAGAUAAUUUUCGACAGAUGAAGGAAGGCCUUCGGCAGCUGAAAGGCUAACUAAUUUAUCUUCAAAGUCAACAGAUAUUCAGGCUUCAGGAGACUCACAUAAUUAAUUUAUACGAGGAACUCCACACUGCUGGGUCACACAGCAAUGGUCUGGAUGCUAGUGUCCCCCAGCUCUGAAGCCAGAUCUGGGUCCAGAUCCUCCCGUGGAAUAAAUCAGCAUAGGUCCACUGACACCCUCUUACUCCAGGCAGGUUGUGAAUUCUGGAGAGGAGUUUAGGGAGCUGUUAACCAAGCCAUUCUAGGUGACAAAAAUUAA